rnacentral:sRNA from 1 species
GCCAGGCGUGGUGGCACACACCUGUAAUCCCAAUGGCUUGGGAGGCUGAGGCAGGAGGAUUGUGAGUUGAGAGCCAGCCUCAGCAACUUAGUGAGGCCCUGAGCAACUCAAUGAGACCCUGUCUCUA